rnacentral:lncRNA from 1 species
AAUAUAUCCGGAAGCAACUGUCAUGGCUGCUGUCAGUGAGGGCCCGUAAUGGAGAUCGAGUCAAGGGUUGCCCAGGGACACUUAAGAGCCUUCGGCUUCAAGGAGGCCUCUCAAAGGACAAAGGAUGAGACUGCCUGGCGGCAGAGUGCCCCCCACAAUCGUAGGAACUGUGUCGCCGCGCUUCCCGUUAACUUGCCGCUAAGUUUUUCUAGAAAAGUCGCCCUUCUUGCCAGGGGUGUCCUAUAGACUUUGUCAUGGAGUGAAACAGAAACAAAUAAUGGCCUGUCCAGAAGACAGCCAAAUACAUCCUUCAAACAGACUUCACUGCAGGAGACAGAGUGGAUUCAUCCUGUAUUCUCCAUGUAGACUUCCAUCUUCAUGAGUACUCCAAGAAGAUGGUUCAGUUGACUAUUGCAAAGAUCACCGCCAGAUGCAAAAAACCACCGCUAAGCAUUUUGUAAAAUGCUGAGACAUAUUUGAGCAACUCUUGAUGAAGGCCCUGACCACAUUUCUUUCAUGUUCUAGACAAAAUACCUGGAGAGAAUGGCAAGCUUCCAGGCUCUUGCUCAGCCUUUCUUCCCCCUUGUCAGUGCAGUCAGGGAUAAGCAUCUAUUUUUAAUUAAUAGUAUUUCUUAAGAAUGAAAACACCAUUCACUUUUGCAACUGUCAACUUAAGUACAGCUGCUGUUUUGAGCUAUGUCUUUUAUAAUCGGAGUGGAUUCCAUACCUCUCAUCCCUGGAUUUUCAUCUUGUGGCACUGGAUGUUGAAUGGCUCA